rnacentral:rRNA from 1 species
UACGAAGGGGGCUAGCGUUGCUCGGAAUCACUGGGCGUAAAGCGCACGUAGGCGGCUUUUUAAGUCAGGGGUGAAAUCCUGGAGCUCAACUCCAGAACUGCCUUUGAUACUGAGAAGCUUGAGUCCGGGAGAGGUGAGUGGAACUGCGAGUGUAGAGGUGAAAUUCGUAGAUAUUCGGAAGAACACCAGUGGCGAAGGCGGCUCACUGGCCUGGUAUUGACGCUGAGGUGCGAAAGCGUGGGGAGCAAACAGG